CCUACGGGAGGCAGCAGUGAGGAAUAUUGGUCAAUGGACGCAAGUCUGAACCAGCCAUGCCGCGUGCAGGAAGACGGCUCUAUGAGUUGUAAACUGCUUUUGUACGAGGGUAAACGCAGAUACGCGUAUCUGUCUGAAAGUAUCGUACGAAUAAGGAUCGGCUAACUCCGUGCCAGCAGCCGCGGUAAUACGGAGGAUUCAAGCGUUAUCCGGAUUUAUUGGGUUUAAAGGGUGCGUAGGCGGUCGGAUAAGUUAGAGGUGAAAUCCCGAGGCUCAACUUCGGAAUUGCCUUUGAUACUGUUCGGCGAGAGAGUAGUUGCGGUAGGCGGAAUGUAUGGUGUAGCGGUGAAAUGCUUAGAGAUCAUACAGAACACCGAUUGCGAAGGCAGCUUACCAAGCUACUUCUGACGUUGAGGCACGAAAGCGUGGGGAGCAAACAGGAUUAGAUACCCGAGUAGUC
rnacentral:rRNA from 1 species